rnacentral:rRNA from 1 species
UGGCACCUUCGGUGUCCGAGUUGUAAUUUGAAGAAGGUAACUUUGGAGUCAGCUCUUGUCUAUGUUCCUUGGAACAGGACGUCACAGAGGGUGAGAAUCCCGUGCGAUGAGAUGUCUGAUUCUAUGUAAAGUGCUUUCGAAGAGUCGAGUUGUUUGGGAAUGCAGCUCUAAGUGGGUGGUAAAUUCCAUCUAAAGCUAAAUAUUGGCGAGAGACCGAUAGCGAACAAGUACAGUGAUGGAAAGAUGAAAAGAACUUUGAAAAGAGAGUGAAAAAGUACGUGAAAUUGUUGAAAGGGAAGGGUUUGAGAUCAGACUUGGUAUUUUGUAUGUCUUGCUUUCGGGUGGGGCCUCUACAGUUUACUGGGCCAGCAUCGGUUUGGACGGUAGGAUAAUGACAUUGGAAUGUGGCACCACUUCGGUGGUGUGUUAUAGACUUUGUUGAUACUGCCUGUCUAGACCGAGGACUGCGUCUUUGACUAGGAUGCUGGCAUAAUGAUCUUAAACCGCCC